CCUACGGGUGGCUGCAGUGGGGAAUAUUGGACAAUGGUGGCAACCCUGAUCCAGCCAUGCCGCGUGUGUGAAGAAGGCCCUCGGGUUGUAAAGCACUUUCAGUGAGGAAGAACGCCUGGUGGUUAAUACCCAUCAGGAAAGACAUCACUCACAGAAGAAGCACCGGCUAACUCCGUGCCAGCAGCCGCGGUAAUACGGAGGGGGCGAGCGUUAAUCGGAAUUACUGGGCGUAAAGCGCGCGUAGGUGGCUUGAUAAGCCGGUUGUGAAAGCCCCGGGCUCAACCUGGGAACGGCGUCCGGAACUGUCAAGCUAGAGUGCAGGAGAGGAAGGUAGAAUUCCCGGUGUAGCGGUGAAAUGCGUAGAGAUCGGGAGGAAUACCAGUGGCGAAGGCGGCCUUCUGGACUGACACUGACACUGAGGUGCGAAAGCGUGGGUAGCAAACAGGAUUAGAUACCCUAGUAGUC
rnacentral:rRNA from 1 species